AUUGAACGCUGGCGGCAGGCCUAACACAUGCAAGUCGAGCGGAUGAAGGGAGCUUGCUCCUGGCUUCAGCGGCGGACGGGUGAGUAAUGCCUAGGAAUCUGCCUGGUAGUGGGGGAUAACGUCCGUACACGGGCGCUAAUACCGCAUACGUCCUGAGGGAGAACGUGGGGGAUCUUCGGACCUCACGCUAUCAGAUGAGCCUAGGUCGGAUUAGCUAGUUGGUGGGGUAAAGGCCUACCAAGGCGACGAUCCGUAACUGGUCUGAGAGGAUGAUCAGUCACACUGGAACUGAGACACGGUCCAGACUCCUACGGGAGGCAGCAGCGGGGAAUAUUGGACAAUGGGCGAAAGCCUGAUCCAGCCAUGCCGCGUGUGUGAAGAAGGUCUUCGGAUUGUAAAGCACUUUAAGUUGGGAGGAAGGGCAGUAAGUUAAUACCUUGCUGUUUUGACGGUACCAACAGAAUAAGCACCGGCUAACUACGUG
rnacentral:rRNA from 1 species